rnacentral:rRNA from 1 species
CUGAGGCGUGAUGACGAGGCACUACGGUGCUGAAGCAACAAAUGCCCUGCUUCCAGGAAAAGCCUCUAAGCAUCAGGUAACAUCAAAUCGUACCCCAAACCGACACAGGUGGUCAGGUAGAGAAUACCAAGGCGCUUGAGAGAACUCGGGUGAAGGAACUAGGCAAAAUGGUGCCGUAACUUCGGGAGAAGGCACGCUGAUAUGUAGGUGAAGUCCCUCGCGGAUGGAGCUGAAAUCAGUCGAAGAUACCAGCUGGCUGCAACUGUUUAUUAAAAACACAGCACUGUGCAAACACGAAAGUGGACGUAUACGGUGUGACGCCUGCCCGGUGCCGGAAGGUUAAUUGAUGGGGUCAGCGCAAGCGAAGCUCUUGAUCGAAGCCCCGGUAAACGGCGGCCGUAACUAUAACGGUCCUAAGGUAGCGAAAUUCCUUGUCGGGUAAGUUCCGACCUGCACGAAUGGCGUAAUGAUGGCCAGGCUGUCUCCACCCGAGACUCAGUGAAAUUGAACUCGCUGUGAAGAUGCAGUGUACCCGCGGCAAGACGGAAAGACCCCGUGAACCUUUACUAUAGCUUGACACUGAACAUUGAGCCUUGAUGUGUAGGAUAGGUGGGAGGCUUUGAAGUGUGGACGCCAGUCUGCAUGGAGCCGACCUUGAAAUACCACCCUUUAAUGUUUGAUGUUCUAACGUUGACCCGUAAUCCGGGUUGCGGACAGUGUCUGGUGGGUAGUUUGACUGGGGCGGUCUCCUCCUAAAGAGUAACGGAGGAGCACGAAGGUUGGCUAAUCCUGGUCGGACAUCAGGAGGUUAGUGCAAUGGCAUAAGCCAGCUUGACUGCGAGCGUGACGGCGCGAGCAGGUGCGAAAGCAGGUCAUAGUGAUCCGGUGGUUCUGAAUGGAAGGGCCAUCGCUCAACGGAUAAAAGGUACUCCGGGGAUAACAGGCUGAUACCGCCCAAGAGUUCAUAUCGACGGCGGUGUUUGGCACCUCGAUGUCGGCUCAUCACAUCCUGGGGCUGAAGUAGGUCCCAAGGGUAUGGCUGUUCGCCAUUUAAAGUGGUACGCGAGCUGGGUUUAGAACGUCGUGAGACAGUUCGGUCCCUAUCUGCCGUGGGCGCUGGAGAACUGAGGGGGGCUGCUCCUAGUACGAGAGGACCGGAGUGGACGCAUCACUGGUGUUCGGGUUGUCAUGCCAAUGGCACUGCCCGGUAGCUAAAUGCGGAAGAGAUAAGUGCUGAAAGCAUCUAAGCACGAAACUUGCCCCGAGAUGAGUUCUCCCUGACUCCUUGAGAGUCCUGAAGGAACGUUGAAGACGACGACGUUGAUAGGCCGGGUGUGUAAGCGCAGCGAUGCGUUGAGCUAACCGGUACUAAUGAACCGUGAGGCUUAACC